rnacentral:rRNA from 1 species
GACGAACCGUGCGAACGUUGUUCGGAAUCACUGGGCUUAAAGGGCGCGUAGGCGGGCCGCCGCGUCCGGGGUGAAAUCCUCCCGCUCAACGGGAGAACGGCCUCGGAUACGGGCGGCCUGGAGGGGGGUAGGGGCAGGCGGAACUGUGGGUGGAGCGGUGAAAUGCGUUGAGAUCCACAGGAACUCCGGUGGCGAAGGCGGCCUGCUGGACCCCAUCUGACGCUGAGGCGCGAAAGCCAGGGGAGCGAACGGG